rnacentral:rRNA from 1 species
CCUACGGGAGGCAGCAGUGGGGAAUAUUGGACAAUGGGCGAAAGCCUGAUCCAGCAAUGCCGCGUGAGUGAUGAAGGCCUUAGGGUUGUAAAGCUCUUUUACCCGGGAUGAUAAUGACAGUACCGGGAGAAUAAGCUCCGGCUAACUCCGUGCCAGCAGCCGCGGUAAUACGGAGGGAGCUAGCGUUAUUCGGAAUUACUGGGCGUAAAGCGCACGUAGGCGGCUUUGUAAGUAAGAGGUGAAAGCCUGGUGCUCAACACCAGAACUGCCUUUUAGACUGCAUCGCUUGAAUCCAGGAGAGGUGAGUGGAAUUCCGAGUGUAGAGGUGAAAUUCGUAGAUAUUCGGAAGAACACCAGUGGCGAAGGCGGCUCACUGGACUGGUAUUGACGCUGAGGUGCGAAAGCGUGGGGAGCAAACAGGAUUAGAUGCCCUGGUAGUCCACGCCGUAAACGAUGAUAACUAGCUGUCGGGGCUCUUAGAGCUUCGGUGGCGCGAGCUACGCAUUAAGUUAUCCGCCGUCGGGAGGUACGGCCGCGAACGUUAAACGUACAAGUAGAAGUUAGACGGCGUGAGACGUGCCGACGACGACGACGAGGGAGAGG